rnacentral:rRNA from 1 species
UACGAAGGGUGCAAGCGUUAAUCGGAAUUACUGGGCGUAAAGCGUGCGCAGGCGGUUUUGUAAGACAGGGGUGAAAUCCCCGGGCUUAACCUGGGAACUGCAUUUGUGACUGCAAGGCUGGAGUGCGGCAGAGGGGGAUGGAAUUCCGCGUGUAGCAGUGAAAUGCGUAGAUAUGCGGAGGAACACCGAUGGCGAAGGCAAUCCCCUGGGCCUGCACUGACGCUCAUGCACGAAAGCGUGGGGAGCAAACAGG